rfam:Ailuropoda melanoleuca scaffold2754_15, whole genome shotgun sequence.
CCAAAGGCUCUUUUAAGAGCCACCAAAAUGUCAAUUGAGGGGCUGG